GAUCUCUGCCCCUCCCCUCCCGCAGCCCUCCGGCCUCCCCCAGCGCUGCCCUCCAGCCCGGGGAGGGGCCAGGAAAUUCCGGCAGUGGAAGAUGGAGGCCACAGCUCAUCCAGCCCAUCGCUCACCUGCUCAGGCCCCCAUGGCAGGGAAGAGCCACAGCCUGGGGAAAUUCGCAUGCGAGGAAGGAGACAGAACUAGCAAACUGGGCAUUUCAAGGGUUUAAAGCUGCAUUUCAGGGCACUUCUACCCACACCCCGGCACCAAAUAUUUCCAACGGGAGCAGGCCCAGCGGCAGAUUCAUCGUAACACAAAGGGAACCGCCCCCACAGCAGCUUUCCUUAGCAGCAGAUCGGCCUCUCGCACGGAUUCGCUUCGGAGAGAUGCAGAUAGAUUGA
rnacentral:lncRNA from 1 species